GGGACACGUGGUAUCCUGUCUGAAUAUGGGGGGACCAUCCUCCAAGGCUAAAUACUCCUGACUGACCGAUAGUGAACCAGUACCGUGAGGGAAAGGCGAAAAGAACCCCGGCGAGGGGAGUGAAAAAGAACCUGAAACCGUGUACGUACAAGCAGUGGGAGCCUCUUUAUGGGGUGACUGCGUACCUUUUGUAUAAUGGGUCAGCGACUUAUAUUCUGUAGCAAGGUUAACCGAAUAGGGGAGCCGAAGGGAAACCGAGUCUUAACUGGGCGUUAAGUUGCAGGGUAUAGACCCGAAACCCGGUGAUCUAGCCAUGGGCAGGUUGAAGGUUGGGUAACACUAACUGGAGGACCGAACCGACUAAUGUUGAAAAAUUAGCGGAUGACUUGUGGCUGGGGGUGAAAGGCCAAUCAAACCGGGAGAUAGCUGGUUCUCCCCGAAAGCUAUUUAGGUAGCGCCUCGUGAAUUCAUCUCCGGGGGUAGAGCACUGUUUCGGCAAGGGGGUCAUCCCGACU
rnacentral:rRNA from 1 species